UGCCUCAUCGACUGGAAGGGAUUCCUUCCCGUCAAUGAGGCUGUUAUACCUCAUCAACCGGAAGGAACCCCUUCCGGUUGAUGAGGUU
rnacentral:miRNA from 1 species